rnacentral:rRNA from 1 species
UAGCAAUACGUCAGCGGCAGACGGGUGAGUAACGCGUGGGAACAUACCUUUUGGUUCGGAACAACACAGGGAAACUUGGGCUAAUACCGGAUACGCCCUAACGGGGAAAGAUUUAUUGCCGAAGGAACGGCCCGCGUCCGAUUAGCUUGUUGGUGAGGUAACGGCUCACCAAGGCGACGAUCGGUAGCUGGUCUGAGAGGAUGACCAGCCUCACUGGGACUGAGACACGGCCCAGACUCCUACGGGAGGCAGCAGUGGGGAAUAUUGGACAAUGGGCGCAAGCCUGAUCCAGCCAUGCCGCGUGGGUGAUGAAGGCCCUAGGG